rnacentral:rRNA from 1 species
UACGUAGGGUGCGAGCGUUAAUCGGAAUUACUGGGCGUAAAGCGUGCGCAGGCGGUUCGCCAAGUCAGGUGUGAAAUCCCCGGGCUUAACCUGGGAAUUGCGCUUGAAACUAGCGGGCUUGAGUGUGGCAGAGGGGGGUGGAAUUCCACGUGUAGCAGUGAAAUGCGUAGAGAUGUGGAGGAACACCGAUGGCGAAGGCAGCCCCCUGGGUCAACACUGACGCUCAGACACGACAGCAUGGGGAGCGAACGGG